rnacentral:precursor_RNA from 1 species
GCGCCUUAAUUGUUUGCGUGGCCGAGGCGGGGCCUCGGCCGAAUUGCCUUAAUGUUCCCCCGACUAACCCCCCUGGGUUUAGCCCGGGCGGGCGUCGGGGGAGAAAACCCCACGCCGCCGAAACGCGCGGAGUCCGGGGUGGUCCCGCCCCCGAGGGCGGCCUGCGGCCGCUCUC